GUUGUGGCUCAGUGGUAGAGUGCUUGCCUGUCAUUAUGAAGCAUUGGGUUCAAUUCUCAGCACCACG
rnacentral:tRNA from 1 species